rnacentral:rRNA from 1 species
AGCGAACGCUGGCGGCAGGCCUAACACAUGCAAGUCGAACGAAGCCUUCGGGCUUAGCGGCGGACGGGUGAGUAACACGUGGGAACGUACCUUUAGGUUCGGAACAACUCAGGGAAACUUGAGCUAAUACCGGAUAAGCCCUUCGGGGGAAAGAUUUAUCGCCUUUAGAGCGGCCCGCGUUAGAUUAGCUAGUUGGUGAGGUAAAGGCUCACCAAGGCUACGAUCUAUAGCUGGUCUGAGAGGAUGAUCAGCCACACUGGGACUGAGACACGGCCCAGACUCCUACGGGAGGCAGCAGUGGGGAAUCUUGCGCAAUGGGCGAAAGCCUGACGCAGCCAUGCCGCGUGAAUGAUGAAGGUCUUAGGAUUGUAAAAUUCUUUUACCAGGGACGAUAAUGACGGUACCUGGAGAAAAGGCCCCGGCUAACUUCGUGCCAGCCGCCGCCGUAA